UACGGGGGGGGCAAGCGUUGUUCGGAAUUACUGGCGUAAAGGGCUCGUAGGCGGCCAACUAAGUCGGACGUGAAAUCCCCGGGCUCAACCCGGGAACUGCGUCCGAUACUGGCGGGCUUGAAUCCGGGAGAGGGAUGCGGAAUUCCAGGUGUAGCGGUGAAAUGCGUAGAUAUCUGGAGGAACACCGGUGGCGAAGGCGGCAUCCUGGACCGGCAUUGACGCCUGAGGCG
rnacentral:rRNA from 1 species